AUACGUAGGGGGCGAGCGUUGUCCGGAAUGAUUGGGCGUAAAGGGCGCGUAGGCGGCCCGGUAAGUCUGAAGUGAAAGUCCUGCUUUUAAGGUGGGAAUUGCUUUGGAUACUGUCGGGCUUGAGUGCAGGAGAGGUAAGUGGAAUUCCCAGUGUAGCGGUGACAUGCGUAGAGAUUGGGAGGAACACCAGUGGCGAAGGCGACUUACUGGACUGUAACUGACGCUGAGGCGCGAAAGUGUGGGGAGCAAACAGGAUUAGAUACCCUGGUAGUCCACACUGUAAACGAUGAAUGCUAGGUGUAGGGGGUAUCGACCCCUUCUGUGCCGCAGUUAACACAGUAAGCAUUCCGCCUGGGGAGUACGGCCGCAAGGUUGAAACUCAAAGGAAUUGGCGGGG
rnacentral:rRNA from 1 species